rnacentral:rRNA from 1 species
GAUGAACGCUGGCGGCGUGCCUAAUACAUGCAAGUCGAGCGAACGGACGAGAAGCUUGCUUCUCUGAUGUUAGCGGCGGACGGGUGAGUAACACGUGGAUAACCUACCUAUAAGACUGGGAUAACUUCGGGAAACCGUAGCUAAUACCGGAUAAUAUUUUGAACCGCAUGGUUCAAAAGUGAAAGACGGUCUUGCUGUCACUUAUAGAUGGAUCCGCGCUGCAUUAGCUAGUUGGUAAGGUAACGGCUUACCAAGGCAACGAUGCAUAGCCGACCUGAGAGGGUGAUCGGCCACACUGGAACUGAGACACGGUCCAGACUCCUACGGGAGGCAGCAGUAGGGAAUCUUCCGCAAUGGGCGAAAGCCUGACGGAGCAACGCCGCGUGAGUGAUGAAGGUCUUCGGAUCGUAAAACUCUGUUAUUAGGGAAGAACAUAUGUGUAAGUAACUGUGCACAUCUUGACGGUACCUAAUCAGAAAGCCACGGCUAACUACGUGCCAGCAGCCGCGGUAAUACGUAGGUGGCAAGCGUUAUCCGGAAUUAUUGGGCGUAAAGCGCGCGUAGGCGGUUUUUUAAGUCUGAUGUGAAAGCCCACGGCUCAACCGUGGAGGGUCAUUGGAAACUGGAAAACUUGAGUGCAGAAGAGGAAAGUGGAAUUCCAUGUGUAGCGGUGAAAUGCGCAGAGAUAUGGAGGAACACCAGUGGCGAAGGCGACUUUCUGGUCUGUAACUGACGCUGAUGUGCGAAAGCGUGGGGAUCAAACAGGAUUAGAUACCCUGGUAGUCCACGCCGUAAACGAUGAGUGCUAAGUGUUAGGGGGUUUCCGCCCCUUAGUGCUGCAGCUAACGCAUUAAGCACUCCGCCUGGGGAGUACGACCGCAAGGUUGAAACUCAAAGGAAUUGACGGGGACCCGCACAAGCGGUGGAGCAUGUGGUUUAAUUCGAAGCAACGCGAAGAACCUUACCAAAUCUUGACAUCCUUUGACAACUCUAGAGAUAGAGCCUUCCCCUUCGGGGGACAAAGUGACAGGUGGUGCAUGGUUGUCGUCAGCUCGUGUCGUGAGAUGUUGGGUUAAGUCCCGCAACGAGCGCAACCCUUAAGCUUAGUUGCCAUCAUUAAGUUGGGCACUCUAAGUUGACUGCCGGUGACAAACCGGAGGAAGGUGGGGAUGACGUCAAAUCACCAUGCCCCUUAUGAUUUGGGCUACACACGUGCUACAAUGGACAAUACAAAGGGCAGCGAAACCGCGAGGUCAAGCAAAUCCCAUAAAGUUGUUCUCAGUUCGGAUUGUGGUCUGCAACUCGACUACAUGAAGCUGGAAUCGCUAGUAAUCGUAGAUCAGCAUGCUACGGUGAAUACGUUCCCGGGUCU